rnacentral:rRNA from 1 species
AUACGGAGGGUGCAAGCGUUACUCGGAAUCACUGGGCGUAAAGGACGCGUAGGCGGGAUGCCAAGUCUGAUGUGAAAUCCUAUGGCUCAACCAUAGAACUGCAUUGGAAACUGGUAACCUAGAGUAUGGGAGGGGGAGAUGGAAUUAGUGGUGUAGGGGUAAAAUCCGUAGAUAUCACUAGGAAUACCUAAAGCGAAGGCGAUCUCCUGGAACAAUACUGACGCUAAGGCGUGAAAGCGUGGGGAGCAAACGGGAUUAGAAACCCUAGUAGUCC